CUCGUACAUCCUAAGCGACAUCUGCUGGAAACUAUCCUGUGGUUGGCACUGCUGGUGUUCUCAGUGACACUAAGUGUUAGUGUAAUUAUGACCAACUGGAAGCGGUACAGCGCCAAUCCCAUCCUGGUAUCGCUGGAGAAGAACUACAGAGACUGGGAAUUCGAAUUUCCCGCCAUGACCCUCUGCCAUGACGACAGAGUGAACGAGAGCAAAGCGGAGGAAUACAUAGAGAACGUGUGGGGAGUUAGAAAUGACAGCAAAGCAGAAUAUUACAUGAAAUUUAUCAGGACUGUAGUGAAUAUGUCGUAC